rnacentral:rRNA from 1 species
CCUACGGGUGGCAGCAGUCGAGAAUCAUUCACAAUGGGGGAAACCCUGAUGGUGCGACGCCGCGUGGGGGAAGAAGUAUUUCGGUAUGUAAAGCUCUAUCAGCAGGGAAGAAAAUGACGGUACCUGAUUAAGUAGCCCCGGCUAACUACGUGCCAGCAGCCGCGGUAAUACGUAGGGGGCAAGCGUAAUCCGGAUUUACGGGGUGUAAAGGGAGCGGAGACGGCAGCACAAGUCUGGAGUGAAAUGCGGGGGCUUAACCCGGAACUGCUUUGGAAACUGUGCAGCUAGAGUGCAGGAGAGGUAAGUGGAAUUCCAAGUGUAGCGGUGAAAUGCGUAGAUAUUAGGAGGAACACCAGUGGCGAAGGCGGCUUACUGGACUGUAACUGACGUUGAGGCUCGAAAGCGUGGGGAGCAAACAGGAUUAGAUACCCUUGUAGUC